AUUGAACGCUGGCGGCAGGCCUAACACAUGCAAGUCGAGCGGAUGAGGGAAGCUUGCUUCCCGAUUUAGCGGCGGACGGGUGAGUAAUGCCUAGGAAUCUGCCUAUUAGUGGGGGAUAACGUUCCGAAAGGAACGCUAAUACCGCGUACGUCCUACGGGAGAAAGUGGGGGAUCUUCGGACCUCACGCUAAUAGAUGAGCCUAGGUAGGAUUAGCUAGUUGGUGGGGUAAUGGCUCACCAAGGCGAUGAUCCGUAGCUGGUCUGAGAGGAUGAUCAGCCACACUGGAACUGAGACACGGUCCAGACUCCUACGGGAGGCAGCAGUGGGGAAUAUUGGACAAUGGGCGAAAGCCUGAUCCAGCCAUGCCGCGUGUGUGAAGAAGGUCUUCGGAUUGUAAAGCACUUUAAGUUGGGAGGAAGGGUUGUAAGCUAAUAUCUUGCAGCUUUGACGUUACCAACAGAAUAAGCACCGGCUAACUCUGUGCCAGCCGCCGCAGUAAGAC
rnacentral:rRNA from 1 species